GUCAAUGCUGUUUUUGAAUAGCUGAAGGGUUAGUGUCGUUCCUUACUAUGUGACUGCUCACUCUCCAGCUAUUCAAAAACAGCAUUC
rnacentral:miRNA from 1 species